rnacentral:tRNA from 1 species
GCCCUGCUGGUUCAAUCGGUGGAACAUGUGACUCUUGAUCUCAGGGUAGUGAGUUUGAGUCCCACAUUGGGCA